rnacentral:lncRNA from 1 species
GCCAGAAAGAUAGAGCCAGAAGAGAUGUUAAAGCUACAGCAAGUAAUCAAAGAUGCCAAAAAGUGCUUUUAGAAAGUGGAUUAAAUUGGUUAUAAUAUGUGAACAUCCCCCAAAGUUGUAUUUAUUAUAGUGAAAAAUGUCAAUUCUCUAAAAUUAGGUCAUUAUGAAAAAUGAGUCGUCUCCAAUUCUCUUUUCCCUCCAAGAUAAUGAAAUGGUACUCCUUAGUAAAAAGAAUCUUCUCUACCUAGACCCUAAGGACAAUAUUAUCCUCCCACAUAUUGGGGCAUAUAUUAUUGCAAGUCUCAAAAGCAACUGUGCUGCACUUUCUAAGCACAUGCUCCUGGGGUGAGGGGAGUCACCUAUCUAGAGAACAGCUGUCAUCUCCAAAUGAGAACCCUCUGAAAACUUAGUUGGGAAAUUUUCAUGGAAAAAACCUUUAUAAUCACUUGGCACAGCAGACAAUGAAUGUUUUUCACUGCUCUGCUCCAUUCAGGUUUAUCUCCCACGGCCUUGGUUGCUGUGCUAUCUCAAUGUUGAUUUACAGCAGAGUAACCAAAGCAUGUGAAAUAUGUCUAGGUAAAGUCAGGUAAAUACCUUCUGUUGUGGAUACAGGGGAAGGACACAAGUGCUGCUUAAUUACAUCUAUUAGCUGAGUGAGUAUAGCUGAAUACAUUCAAUUUAAAAUGCUACUGCUCUUAGUUGCUUUCUCUGUUCCAUUGGUGAGCAACACUGAAGCCACAAAGCAUCACCAGACAAGAAUGUUCCAUAUGCUCCAGCACAAGGCACAGAAUUUUCAAUAUUUACCGCAGCUGCAGCAGUUCAUUCCUGGGAAACAUGGGAGGAAAAAGCAAUUGGCACAGAAGGAAAAUCGUAACAAUAUCAAGAAGGAAAGUGAACACGAUGUCAAAAACCAACUAUCACCAAAGCCAAAAUUAAUAGGAUGUGUAAGGAAAGGCAGUUAAAAUUUAUUACGACAAAGAUUUCCAAAACUCUGUAUUGUACAUGCUGUAGAAAUAUUUUCUAUCCAUGAAUUUGUUUCCCCAAGCUUUAUAUCUUUAAAAUUUAAUUUCUCUCUCCCUCUCUUCCUUUUUUUCUUUUUUUCUUCCUACUUAUGAUUUUGCUUUCCAGUUUCAAAACCACAUUUGUAAAAGAAAAUGAAUUUCACUCUGAUGUUGCACUCUUGUAAUAUUUGGUGAUUGUUUUAAAAAAUAUUGUAUCUGCUGAAAAUUAAUAAAACUCAGCAAAUUUUUGGUUUCA